rnacentral:rRNA from 1 species
GACGAACGCUGGCGGCGUGCCUAAUACAUGCAAGUUGAGCGCUGAAGGUUGGUACUUGUACCAACUGGAUGAGCAGCGAACGGGUGAGUAACGCGUGGGGAAUCUGCCUUUGAGCGGGGGACAACAUUUGGAAACGAAUGCUAAUACCGCAUAAAAACUUUAAACACAAGUUUUAAGUUUGAAAGAUGCAAUUGCAUCACUCAAAGAUGAUCCCGCGUUGUAUUAGCUAGUUGGUGAGGUAAAGGCUCACCAAGGCGAUGAUACAUAGCCGACCUGAGAGGGUGGUCCGCCACAUUGGGACUGGGACACGGCCCAAACUCCUUCGGGAGGCAGCAGUAGGGGAUCUUCGGCAAUGGACGGAAGUCUGGCCGAGCAACGCCGCGUGAGUGAAGAAGGUUUUCGGAUCGUAAAACUCUGUUGGUAGGGAAGAACGUUGGUGAGAGUGGAAAGCUCAUCAAGUGACGGUAACUACACAGAAAGGGACGGCUAACUACGUG